rnacentral:rRNA from 1 species
CAAUAGCGUAUAUUAAAGUUGUUGCAGUUAAAAAGCUCGUAGUCGGAUUUUGGCAUCACGCCGAACUGUCUGCCGAUUGGUAAGUACGGUUUGGCGGGUGCUUCUUUCUUGAAGCUCGUUCCCUUCUUAACUGAAGGGUUCGUUGGUUCAGGUUCUUUUACUUUGAGAAAAUUAGAGUGUUCAAAGCAGGCCUAUGCUCUGAAUAGGUUAGCAUGGAAUAAUAGAAUAGGACUUUGGUUCUAUUUUGUUGGUUUCUAGGACCGAAGUAAUGAUUAAUAGGGACAGUUGGGGCAUUCAUAUUCCAUUGUCAGAGGUGAAAUUCUUGGAUUAACGGAAGAUGAACUUCUGCGAAAGCAUCUGCCAAGGAUGUUUUCAUUGA